GCGGUGGAGCAUGUGGUUUAAUUCGAUGCAACGCGAAGAACCUUACCUACUCUUGACAUCCAGAGAAGCCACCAGAGACGCAGGGGUGCCUUCGGGAACUCUGAGACAGGUGCUGCAUGGCUGUCGUCAGCUCGUGUUGUGAAAUGUUGGGUUAAGUCCCGCAACGAGCGCAACCCUUAUCCUUGUUUGCCAGCGAGUAAUGUCGGGAACUCCAGGGAGACUGCCGGUGAUAAACCGGAGGAAGGUGGGGACGACGUCAAGUCAUCAUGGCCCUUACGAGUAGGGCUACACACGUGCUACAAUGGCGCAUACAGAGGGCGGCCAACCAGCGAAAGUGAGCGAAUCCCAAAAAGUGCGUCGUAGUCCGGAUUGGAGUCUGCAACUCGACUCCAUGAAGUCGGAAUCGCUAGUAAUCGUGGAUCAGAAUGCCACGGUGAAUACGUUCCCGGGCCUUGUACACACCGGCCCGUCAC
rnacentral:rRNA from 1 species